AACACUUCAAGCAGCAGAUCCAAAAGACCAAGAUUGAGAUUUUACUGCUGGAACAUCAGUUAAGGGAAAUACAGGCGACCAAUAAAGCCAGUUGAACAAAAAAUCUGUUUAUUCUUCUUUCAACAUGUUGAGGUGAUGGGUCAAAGGAAAUGAUUGUGACAUAUGGUGUCUCUGACUGCUCUUCCAUCUUGUAUGUCCGUGGGAGGGUCAGGAUGUUCAUGGUUUGGAUCACUGCUGAUGUUUGGUUCAGAAGGACAGUGUUCUCCUCUAAUUGUGGCAAUGUUGUGAAGAAUCACACAUGCCACAAUAAUGUCA